rnacentral:rRNA from 1 species
AAAGAUCCGUCGGAUGAGGAUAGGCUCGCGUGACAUUAGCUUGACGGCGGGGUAACGGCCCACCGUGGCGACGAUGUCUAGGGGUUCUGAGAGGAAGGUCCCCCACACUGGAACUGAGACACGGUCCAGACUCCUACGGGAGGCAGCAGUGAGGAAUAUUGGUCAAUGGCCGGAAGGCUGAACCAGCCAUGCCGCGUGAAGGUCAGUGCCCUAUGGGCGUUAAACUUCUUUUGUGCGGGAGCAAUAAGGUCCACGUGUGGACCGACGAGAGUACCGUACGAAUAAGCAUCGGCUAACUCCGUGCCAGCAGCCGCGGUAAUACGGGGGAUGCAAGCGUUAUCCGGAUUUAUUGGGUUUAAAGGGUGCGUAGGCUGUGAGGUAAGUCAGCGGUGAAAUGCCCCCGCUCAACGGGGUGAAGUGCCAUUGAUACUGCCUUGCUGGAAUGCGGAUGCCGUGGGAGGAAUGUGUGGUGUAGCGGUGAAAUGCAUAGAUAUCACACAGAACACCGAUUGCGAAGGCAUCUCACGAAUCCGCUAUUGACGCUGAUGCACGAAAGCGUGGGUAUCAAACAGGAUUAGAUACCCUGGUAGUCCACGCUGUAAACGAUGAUGACUAACCGUCGGCGAUACACAGUCG